AAUUAUAUGCUUGUCUUAAAGAUUAAGCCAUGCAAGUGCAAGUACGGCCCUUCAUUUAUGGGGGCGAGACUGCGGACGGCUCAUUAAAUCAGUUAUGAUUCCCAGGAGCCGGCGAAAUCUACUUGGAUAACUGUGGCAAUUCUAGAGCUAAUACAUGCAACUGAAGCUUCGCCCGUGGCUUCUGUUACGGGAGGAGCGCACUUGUUAGCCUCAAACCAAUCCGGCGUGGGUGGUCAAACACCUCGCUGGUCUCACUGGUGAACUCUGGACAAUCUUGCCGAUCGCAGGGCCUUCGUGCCGGCGACAUAUCUUUCAAGUGUCUGACCUAUCACACUAGAUGGUUUGCGCUCUGCGCACCAUGGUGACAACGGGUGACGGGGAAUCAGGGUUCGAUUCCGGAGAGGGAGCAUGAGAAACGGCUGCCACAUCCAAGGAAGGCAGCAGGCACGCAACUUACCCAAUGCCGAGACGGCGAGGUAGUGACGAAAAAUAACAAUACGGGACUCUCUUUACGAGGUCCCGAAAUUGAAAUGAGUACACUCUAAAUCCUUUAACGAGGAUC
rnacentral:rRNA from 1 species